GACGAACGCUGGCGGCGUGCUUAACACAUGCAAGUCGAACGGUGAUGCUCCAGCUUGCUGGAGUGGAUCAGUGGCGAACGGGUGAGUAACACGUGAGCAACCUGCCCCAGACUCUGGAAUAAGCGCUGGAAACGGCGUCUAAUACUGGAUACGAAACUGGCCCGCAUGGGCAUGGUUUGGAAAGUUUUUCGGUUUGGGAUGGGCUCGCGGCCUAUCAGCUUGUUGGUGAGGUAAUGGCUCACCAAGGCGACGACGGGUAGCCGGCCUGAGAGGGCGACCGGCCACACUGGGACUGAGACACGGCCCAGACUCCUACGGGUGGCAGCAGUGGGGAAUAUUGCACAAUGGGCGAAAGCCUGAUGCAGCGACGCCGCGUGAGGGAUGACGGCCUUCGGGUUGUAAACCUCUUUCAGCAGGGAAGAAGCGAAAGUGACGGUACCUGCAGAAGAAGCACCGGCUAACUACGUG
rnacentral:rRNA from 1 species